rnacentral:rRNA from 1 species
GAUGAACGCUGGCGGCGUGCUUAACACAUGCAAGUCGAACGAAGUGGCGCACGGGUGUGUAAUACGUGGGUAACCCGCCCUCCUUUUUGGGAUAAGCCUCGGAAACGGGGUCUAAUACCGAAUAAAGGGGGUUGGGCUCGCGGCCUAUCAGCUUGUUGGGGGGGUGAUGGCCUACCAAGGCGGUGACGGGUAGCCGGCCUGCGAGGGUGACCGGCAACAUGGGAAGUGAGAUACGGCCCAGAGUCCUACCGGAGGGAGCAGUGGGGGAUUGUGCACAAUGGGCGAAAGCCUAGUGCGGCGACGCCGCGUGGGGGUUGAAGGUGUUCAGCUUGUAAACCUCUGACGAUAGCGAACGGGUAGGUGGAGAAGAAGCACCGGCUAACUACGUGCCAGCAGCCGCGGUAAUAC